AUGAGUAUGCUCAGGCUUCAGAAGAGGCUUGCCUCUAGGGUCCUCCCCUGUGGCAAGAAGAAGGUCUGGUUGGACCCCAAUGAAACCAAUGAAAUCUCCAAUGCCAACUCCUGUCAGCAGAUCUGGAAGCUGAUCAAAGAUGGGCUGAUGAUCCGCAAGCCAAUGACUGUCCAUUCCCAGGCUCGAUGCCAGGAAAACACCUUGGCCUACCGGAAGGGCAGGCACAUGGGCAUAGGUAAGCGAAAGGGUACAACCAAUGCCCGGAUGCCAGAGAAGGUCACGUGGAUGAGGAGAAUGAGGAUUCUGUGCUGGCUGCUCAGAAGAUACCGCAUAUCUAAGAAGAUUGAUCACCUCAUGUAUCACAGCCUGUACCUGAAGGUUAAGGGGAACGUGUUCAAAAACAAGCGAUUCUCAUGGAACACAUCCACAAGCUGAAGGCAGAUAAGGCUCGCAUGAAGCUCCUGGCUAACCAGGUUGAGGCCCAGAGGUCUAAGACCAAGGAAGCAUGCAAGCGCCAUAAAGAGUGCCUCCAGGUCAAGAAGGAGGAAAUCAUCAAGACCUUGUCCAAGGAGGAAGAGACAAGG
rnacentral:lncRNA from 1 species